CUGGUGCUGCCCAUGUCCCAGGGAAAUGUGACUGACUGUUUAAGGGAUUAAAUAAAUGAAUUUCAUGUGGAAGUCAGUUGUGUGGAAAAAGUCCCGACAGCCUUCUUUGACACAGAUCUGUAUGCUUGUUAAGUUGCUUCUGAAGUCGUGUGAAGAAACUGGGUACCUUCUUCCUCUCCCUCCUAAGAUGUGCUGCAUAAAGGCCCCAGUUGGUCUCAACGCUGGGAAGAACAUUAAAGUGACUUAGAAACACUCAUGAAGUGCUCGUGAAGCCUGUGGUGUCAGAGCAGUACCUGAAGUUGUUACAGCAGUUAAUUCCAGUCUCCUUUUCUAAAGUCCUCUGAGUCAGGUGUAGAAAUAAAAAUUCAGUGAAGUUCCUAA